GCAGAUUAUGAGCUUACGGAAAGCCUGGCCUACAUUUUACUCUUUUUGGAUUUCUUCCUCAUCAAGAGACUGCUGCAGUGCCUGUCAUGUGACAGCGGCAUGGACAUAUGCCCCAGGCUUUCCUGCUGGGGUCCAUCCAUGAGCCUGCAGGUGCCCUGAUGGAGCCCCAGCCCUGCCCUGGAAGCUUGGCUGAGAGCUUCCUGGAGGAGGAGCUUCGGCUCAAUGCUGAGCUGAGCCAGCUGCAGUUUUCGGAGCCUGUGGGCAUCAUCUACAAUCCCGUGGAGUGCCCUUUGGGGAAGUAAGCAUGGUCCGGGACUGGUUGGGCAUUGUGGGGCCUGUGCUGACCCCUCCCCAAGAGCAUCCUAAACGACCAGUGCUGGGACUGGAGUGCCCACAGUCAGAAGUGAGUGGUGCCCGAUUCUGGGGCUUUUUCCGGAACCUCUGUGGACAGCCUGAGGUCUUCUUCCAUCACUGUUUUGUCCACAAUCUAUGCCCUCUGCUUUUCCUGGCUCCCAGCGGGCGCAACCUUACUCCUGCUGAGCUGCCUGCCAAGCAGCGAGAACAGCUUCUUGGGAUCUGUGAUGCAGCCCUCUGCCGGCAGGUGCAGCUACUGGGGGUGCGGCUGGUGGUGGGAGUUGGGCGACUGGCAGAGCAGCGGGCACGACGGGCUCUGGCAGGCCUGAUGCCAGAGGUCCAGGUGGAAGGGCUCCUGCAUCCCUCUCCCCGUAACCCACAGGCCAACAAGGGCUGGGAGGCAGUGGCCAAGGAAAGAUUGAAUAAGCUGGGGCUGCUGCCACUGCUGUUGAAAUGAGUGCCCUUGGGGCCUUGCAUGGGACACAUUCAAGACCUUGAAGUCAUUCUUGGCCAAGCAGAUGGCAACACAUCUCCUGGACUGGAGCAAAAGGUCCUUCUGUGCACCCUGGUCACUGGGAAACGUAUUCUUUGAUCUGUUGAACUGUCUUCCAACCUGCCAUGGCAGUUUUGACACUACUCCUGUUUGUCCUCCUGAUUCCUGCUUUCUUUACCUUUUAACAUUGCCCCUUUCAGGGGACCCCACUUUGUAGGGAAUCCGCAGAAGGUGUGCUUUUGCACUUGCAGACUGCUGUACCUCAGUGUUUCCUUGGGAGACUUUAUUCAGCUGAGAGUACCCUAAACAGUAACUUCUAAGGUCACGUUUACUAUUUCAGAGGAAAUAUCUUGCCAGGAUACCUACCCAUCCUUAUAGAACAGCUGCCUUUAGCUGACCCCUUUCCUCACAGGGACCAAGACAAAGCAUGGGACAUGAAAUUAAGAGUGAACUUCUUAUGGGAGGCUGCAGCUGGAUCAGAGGAAAAAUCCAGUGUGGCAGAGUGAAAGUCAGAAGACCUGGCUUUUCAUCCCAGCUUUGAAACUUGGAACUUUUUGAUUGACAAAUUAAUAAAC
rnacentral:sRNA from 1 species